rnacentral:rRNA from 1 species
CGGGACGGGUGAGUAAUGUCUGGGAAACUGCCCGAUGGAGGGGGAUAACUACUGGAAACGGUAGCUAAUACCGCAUAACGUCGCAAGACCAAAGAGGGGACCUUCGGGCCUCUUGCCAUCGGAUGUGCCCAGAUGGGAUUAGCUAGUAGGUGGGGUAACGGCUCACCUAGGCGACGAUCCCUAGCUGGUCUGAGAGGAUGAUCAGCCACACUGGGACUGAGACACGGCCCAG